rnacentral:rRNA from 1 species
UACGUAGGGUGCGAGCGUUAAUCGGAAUUACUGGGCGUAAAGCGUGCGCAGGCGGUUGUGCAAGACAGAUGUGAAAUCCCCGGGCUCAACCUGGGAACUGCAUUUGUGACUGCACGGCUGGAGUGCGGCAGAGGGGGAUGGAAUUCCGCAUGUAGCAGUGAAAUGCGUAGAUAUGCGGAGGAACACCGAUGGCGAAGGCAAUCCCCUGGGCCUGCACUGACGCUCAUGCACGAAAGCGUGGGGAGCAAACAGG